rnacentral:rRNA from 1 species
ACACGUGGGUAACCUGCCCAUCAGAAGGGGAUAACACUUGGAAACAGGUGCUAAUACCGUAUAACACUAUUUUCCGCAUGGAAGAAAGUUGAAAGGCGCUUUUGCGUCACUGAUGGAUGGACCCGCGGUGCAUUAGCUAGUUGGUGAGGUAACGGCUCACCAAGGCCACGAUGCAUAGCCGACCUGAGAGGGUGAUCGGCCACACUGGGACUGAGACACGGCCCAGACUCCUACGGGAGGCAGCAGUAGGGAAUCUUCGGCAAUGGACGAAAGUCUGACCGAGCAACGCCGCGUGAGUGAAGAAGGUUUUCGGAUCGUAAAACUCUGUUGUUAGAGAAGAACAAGGAUGAGAGUAAAAUGUUCAUCCCUUGACGGUAUCUAACCAGAAAGCCACGGCUAACUACGUGCCAGCAGCCGCGGUAAUACGUAGGUGGCAAGCGUUGUCCGGAUUUAUUGGGCGUAAAGCGAGCGCAGGCGGUUUCUUAAGUCUGAUGUGAAAGCCCCCGGCUCAACCGGGGAGGGUCAUUGGAAACUGGGAGACUUGAGUGCAGAAGAGGAGAGUGGAAUUCCAUGUGUAGCGGUGAAAUGCGUAGAUAUAUGGAGGAACACCAGUGGCGAAGGCGGCUCUCUGGUCUGUAACUGACGCUGAGGCUCGAAAGCGUGGGGAGCGAACAGGAUUAGAUACCCUGGUAGUCCACGCCGUAAACGAUGAGUGCUAAGUGUUGGAGGGUUUCCGCCCUUCAGU